GGUUCCAUAGUGCAGUGGUUAGCACAUCUGCUUUACAUGCAGAAAGUCCUGGAUUCACGCCCCACUGAAGCCA
rnacentral:tRNA from 1 species